rnacentral:rRNA from 1 species
ACUGGGAUAACUCCGGGAAACCGGGGCUAAUACCGGAUGGUUGUUUGAACCGCAUGGUUCAGACAUAAAAGGUGGCUUCGGCUACCACUUACAGAUGGACCCGCGGCGCAUUAGCUAGUUGGUGAGGUAACGGCUCACCAAGGCGACGAUGCGUAGCCGACCUGAGAGGGUGAUCGGCCACACUGGGACUGAGACACGGCCCAGACUCCUACGGGAGGCAGCAGUAGGGAAUCUUCCGCAAUGGACGAAAGUCUGACGGAGCAACGCCGCGUGAGUGAUGAAGGUUUUCGGAUCGUAAAGCUCUGUUGUUAGGGAAGAACAAGUGCCGUUCAAAUAGGGCGGCACCUUGACGGUACCUAACCAGAAAGCCACGGCUAACUACGUGCCAGCAGCCGCGGUAAUACGUAGGUGGCAAGCGUUGUCCGGAAUUAUUGGGCGUAAAGGGCUCGCAGGCGGUUUCUUAAGUCUGAUGUGAAAGCCCCCGGCUCAACCGGGGAGGGUCAUUGGAAACUGGGGAACUUGAGUGCAGAAGAGGAGAGUGGAAUUCCACGUGUAGCGGUGAAAUGCGUAGAGAUGUGGAGGAACACCAGUGGCGAAGGCGACUCUCUGGUCUGUAACUGACGCUGAGGAGCGAAAGCGUGGGGAGCGAACAGGAUUAGAUACCCUGGUAGUCCACGCCGUAACGAUGAGUGCUAAGUGUUAGGGGGUUUCCGCCCCUUAGUGCUGCAGCUAACGCAUUAAGCACUCCGCCUGGGGAGUACGGUCGCAAGACUGAAACUCAAAGGAAUUGACGGGGGCCCGCACAAGCGGUGGAGCAUGUGGUUUAAUUCGAAGCAACGCGAAGAAACCUUACCAGGUCUUGACAUCCUCUGACAAUCCUAGAGAUAGGGACGUCCCCUUUCGGGGGGCAGAGUGACAGGUGGUUGCAUGGGAU